GGUUUUGAUUGGUGACUUGGAGUAUCUCCUUAACGGUUUGUUUUCUUAAUCAAAGCUUAUGUUUCUUUAAACCUACUUUUCUGUUACUCCCUUUAUCGUUCCUCUUAACACAUUUGUUUUUCGUGAUAAGCAAGAACCAUUUAGCUGAAGAGAUCCGUCAAAGUUUGGCAAUCUUAGGAGUGUCCUAGAGAUAGACCUUUCACAUAAUCGGCUCACUGGUCUAAUCCCUCAAGAACUUGGCCAGCUUCAGAAUUUGUAUACACUGCUUCUUUUUGUGGUUAUUGGCUUGGUUCUCCAAUGCCAGACAUCUCAUCCACCAGAAUGACGCAAGUUCAACUAGAAAACCAAAGAUAUGUAGCUCAGCACAUUUUCAGUUUGCAGCUCGAAUCUCCAAAGACGCCAUCUUAGGUUUGCAUUGGUAGCUCUUGUGUCUCCUGCUCCAGUCCCGAUCUUAGUAGCAGCAUUUCAACCACAAUCCAACACUUUUGCAGUGUUUUUGUCCAAGUGUUUCAGCUUUUUAAUUUGGUGAAUUGUGGCAUUUUAAAUUGUUGCUUCUGGUUUCAAAAUGAGGUUAAAUUUAUUUUGUUCAGUUUUUGUUGAAUAAGGAAGAACUGAAUUUCGUUCAAUGUGAUGUUACCUUUACAAGGAUCAGUAGAACAUAUUUUGAGAUGAAUUCAAUGAAAUUCUUUUUAUUUU